rnacentral:rRNA from 1 species
GACAGAGGGGGCAAGCGUUGCUCGGAAUCACUGGGCGUAAAGGGCGCGUAGGCGGGCUGGCAAGUCGGUCGUGAAAUCCCUGGGCUCAACUCAGGGGGGUCGGCCGAUACUGCCGUUCUUGAGGGAUGCAGAGGAGACUGGAAUUCCCGGUGUAGCGGUGAAAUGUGUAGAGAUCGGGAGGAACACCGGUGGCGAAGGCGGGUCUCUGGGCAUUCCCUGACGCUGAGGCGCGAAAGCGUGGGGAGCAAACGGG